rnacentral:rRNA from 1 species
CAAUAGCGUAUAUUUAAGUUGCUGCAGUUAAAAAGCUCGUAGUUGGAUUUCGGGUGGGAAUGGCCGGUCCGCCGUUUCGGUGUGCACUUGCUACGCGCACCUUGCUGCCGGGGACGUGCUCUUGAGUUCACGCUCGGGACACGGAGUCGGCGAGGUUACUUUGAGUAAAUUAGAGUGUUCAAAGCAGGCCUACGCUCUGAAUACAUUAGCAUGGAAUAACACGAUAGGACUCUGGCCUAUCUUGUUGGUCUGUAGGACCGGAGUAAUGAUUAAGAGGGACAGUCGGGGGCAUUCGUAUUUCAUUGUCAGAGGUGAAAUUCUUGGAUUUAUGAAAGACGAACUACUGCGAAAGCAUUUGCCAAGGAUGUUUUCAUUAA